GUUGAGGUUGCUCUGAGAGAUCUUAUACUCUUAGAUUAUGCUAAGAAGAAUAAUAUAAACACCUCGGCACUGACACAGUCUGAAAUUCGUGAUAUAAUACUGGGGGCUGAGAUAACUCCACCUUCACAACAUAGGCAAUAGAUUACGGAGAUUGAGAAGCAGGUGAUGUAAGCAAGCCAACUUAUAGCAGUCACAACAAGGACAACAAUUGUGCAUGGCGAUGAACUCAUUGUCACCACAACAAGCCCCUAUGAGCAAGCAGCAUUUGGUUCUAAAACUGAUUGGCGUGUGUAAGCAAUCUCAGCGACGAAUCUAUAUCUUAGAGUCAAUCAUAUUUAUGUAAACACUGAGGACAUUAAGGAAACAGGCUACACAUACAUCAUGCCCAAGAACAUUUUGAAGAAGUUUAUUUGCAUAGCAGAUCUUCGGACUCAAAUUGCAGGAUAUUUGUAUGGCAUAAGCCCCCCCGAUAACCCUCAAGUGAAGGAAAUCCGUUGUAUUAGUUAUCAAUUAACAUUAAUAUUUUUUAGCCAACUCAUCAAAUUAAAGAUGUGUAUUGUAAUAAAUUUUAUAUUUUUUUUAUUGUUUAGUAAUAUAAAUUUUGUUUAA